rnacentral:rRNA from 1 species
UACAGAGGUCUCAAGCGUUGUUCGGAUUCAUUGGGCGUAAAGGGUGCGUAGGCGGCGCGGUAAGUCGGGUGUGAAAGUCUCGGAGCUUAACUCCGAAACUGCAUUCGAUACUGCCGUGCUUGAGGACUGGAGAGGAGACUGGAAUUUACGGUGUAGCGGUGAAAUGCGUAGAGAUCAUGAGGAAGACCAGUGGUGAAGGCGGGUCUCUGGACAGUUCCUGACACUGAGACACGAAGGCCAGGGGAGCAAACGGG